UACAGAGGUCUCAAGCGUUGUUCGGAUUCAUUGGGCGUAAAGAGCGCGUAGGCGGUCUGAUAAGUCGGUUGUGAAAGUCGGGGGCUCAACCCUCGGAUGCCGAUCGAUACUGUCAGGCUAGAGUCCGGAAGAGGCGAGUGGAAUUCCUGGUGUAGCGGUGAAAUGCGCAGAUAUCAGGAGGAACACCAAUGGCGAAGGCAGCUCGCUGGGACGGUACUGACGCUGAGGCGCGAAAGCGUGGGGAGCAAACAGG
rnacentral:rRNA from 1 species